UAUAAUGAUGCUAAGCUGAACCCUGAAAGA
rnacentral:piRNA from 1 species